GGAGCUUUAGCUCAGUUGGUUAGAGCAACCGGCUCAUAACCGGUCGGUCCUGGGUUCGAGUCCCCGAAGCUCCA
rnacentral:tRNA from 4 species